CCAUUUUCUACUUUCUCCCUAAGUUACAUAAAAAUCCAAUAACCCCUCCAGGCAGGCCAAUAAUCAGUGGCAUCAACUCUGUAUCUGCUCAUUUAUCUGAAUUUGUGGAUCAUCAUCUUCAAAAAUAUGCACAAGAAGCACCUUCUUAUUUGAAAGACACUGCACACAUUUUAAGAAUUUUGGAGAGUGUAACUUGGGAACCCGACUAUGUCUGGG